rnacentral:SRP_RNA from 1 species
GCCAGGCAUGGUGGCGCAUGCCUGUAGUCCCAGCUACUCGGGAGGCUGAGGCAGGAGAAUCGCUUGAGCCCAGGAGGCAGAGGUUGCAGUGAGACGAGAUCGUGUCAUUGCACUCCAGCCUGGGCAACAGAGUGAGACUCUGUCUCAU